AGAACGAACGCUGGCGGCAGGCUUAACACAUGCAAGUCGAACGCCCCCGCAAGGGGAGUGGCAGACGGGUGAGUAACGCGUGGGAACCUACCCAAUUCUACGGAACAACUGAGGGAAACUUCAGCUAAUACCGUAUACGCCCUACGGGGGGAAAGAUUUAUCGGAGUUGGAUGGGCCCGCGUUGGAUUAGCUAGUUGGUGAGGUAACGGCUCACCAAGGCGACGAUCCAUAGCUGGUCUGAGAGGAUGAUCAGCCACACGUGGGACUGAGACACGGCCCAGACUCCUACGGGAGCAGCAGUGGGAAUAUGGACAUGGGCGCAAGCCUGGAACUCCGAGCCAGUGCCGCGGUGAGUGAUGAACGGGUCUUAGGGUUAGUAAGUC
rnacentral:rRNA from 1 species